GUAUCAGAGCGAGUUAAGAGCAAGCAAAGAGAGAGUCUAGGACUGACCUAGGAGACCCUAGGACGGUGAACCUUAAGGUUAUAGGUGCGUGAGUGGAACGUAAACCUAUACGGUGGCGGAAGUUGAAUCGAUUGGGUCGAGUUAGUAAACCUCUAAGACGGAUGUUAGAGGUGGAUUCAAGGUUCUGUUUAUUCUCACACGAGAGUGUUCAUGUUGGAUGCAUACAACAUGAAACUGAGUGGUGAGAAUAGGCACCCUGGUGUGACUUUCGCCCGAUUGAGUCGUGUUGUUUCGCUAUUGCGGCGAAGCUAACAAGUUAAGGUGAUUAACCAAGUUCUUGUGUUUCAGGAGCUAAUGGCACCAAUGAGACACUACGUGCGUAGAUCCGUUCCGGCACAGCCUACUAAGGUGCCAGAACAAGCUGGAUCAAGUGAGGUGCAAGAACUGCGGGCGCAUAUGACUGCACUAGUUGGCGUGGUUCAGCACCAAGGAAGGUCGUGGUCUGCCCGCGCCCUCGAUUCGCGCGCUUGAUGCGGCUGAAGGUGAGGGCCUGGCAGCGGUUCCGAU
rnacentral:lncRNA from 1 species